rnacentral:sRNA from 1 species
UAAAGUUGAAUAUGCUUACCGUAGACAGUAGGUGCCUUAGCAGGCUUAAUUUCCUACCGAGGUGUUGUGAUAUAGAAUGUAUCGGUUAUUUACACAUCGUUGUAAUCCAAUACAGUACGUCAUGCCUUCGUAGAUGCUACGGAGGCUUUUUUGAUGCCAUA